AAGGACCCAAGGGGAUUGCAGAAGUUCUAUGAAAUGGCAGGGUGUAUGGCAAAUCCUGACUAGCUUAGAAGAGACAGGCAAGAGGAGCUUAGAAGUGAGUUUGGAUAGUGAUUUGGGUGGAUAUUGGGGUAACUUACGAUGGUGGCAGGACUUUGAGCGUGAAAACAGGAAAGCUGACCAAUUAUCUGCAAAGAUGAUCCACUCCCAAAGGGA
rnacentral:lncRNA from 10 species